CGUGUUUUCACGCAUACUCACGUUCGCAGCGUAGUUUUCUGCCGGUCGGUGGUUAAGCCAGACGUGUUUUUCGCGGCUGUUUAUCAUUGUAUUUUGAGUUUGUAAUUUAGCAAAUCGCAUUUUUAUAUUGUCCAUCAACUGCAUUUUGCUAUUACGGGCGUGUCUAGUGUUUUAUUGCAAAAUCGUUAAUUUUUGUUGCCGUUCGGUGUGCGUAUUGCAAGAUGACCGCGUGCAAUCAACUGGUUUACACUGCACGUACACGAGAUACAUAUAGCAUGCAACGUCUCGCAACGUUUGUUGUGAUAUUAUGUGGACAAUGGAUUGGAACAAUGACAAACUUCUUCGUGAAAGCCAAGGAAGAACGCAAUUACUUUCGAGUUCUGAUGCCCGAGUCACGAGCUAAAUUAGAAUGCGAAUUUGAUUCGCUUCGUCGGUCGACUCCUGAUUUAAAAUAAAAUAAAUAUUGACACUUC